CUCAGAGGCUCCUGGCCAUCCUCACCCUGAGUGCAAAGCCAGCCCCAGGAGCCCCCCAGGGUGCUCUGGAUCCAGGCUGAGACACCCUCAAGCCAUCACUGAAAGGGACAUGGAUGGGGACUGCAGCUGGAUCUUCCAGUGCUCACCACCCCUGACUGUGCUCCAGGUGAACCCAAACCUCAGCUGCAGCACCUUGAGCACAUUGACCCUUCUUGCCCAUCCUGGAACGUGGUGUUCCCACAUUAUACUCAAGGCCUUUGCAGAGAGUGACCGGCUCCCAGCUGAUCUGCUACCAUGGCCUUUCUUUUUCCCAGAAAUUAACAUAAUGGAUACACUCAUGAGAAUCUCUAUAAAACAUUUGCUUCUCAAGACCUCUUAGGCAAAAAACCUCCACCAAAUACUAUUUUGUGCACAGAGAGGGAGGUGCUGAUAGACAUAAGGCACAGACAAGGCUCUGACAUAAGAGCUCCUGAGCCACAGGAUUCUAUGCAUUGAUGUUCCCAGCUGCUUUGCUCAUAUUUUAUAGCCAGUUCUGGACAGGGGUUGCUGCUGACAAGGUAGGAGGGGUGUCUCAGCCUCAGCCACAGCAGCUCCGUGUCAGCAGUGGGAGCAAAAAGGAAACAAAACAAAACCGGACAAGGGGACAUCUCCUGCAUGGUGCUAAGUCAAGGCUCUGCUGCCAAACCACCCAUCAGCACAUUGCACUCACUCAGCAUCAGCUACAGGUGUUCCUCCUGUUCUAAGGGAGCUGGUGCUGGUGCUGUUCACAGCAUUUCUCACCAGCUUUGGGUACUUUGUUCAGCUAUCCAGCAGAGCUGGACACACGAUGGACCUCAGGGACUCCUCAGGAGAGCAGAGAUCAUGAGGGAGUUCAUGAGGGAUAUGUUGGACAUGCCGUAGCCCAGAGGGUGCUUGUGGUGCAUGUGCCAUUGCUACCAUCUCUCCUAAAGCAAGACACCCCUAAAUCAACCAGUGUCCAACAUGGCACAACAUGUCUAAAAAGUGUCGGGAGUCCUUGCUGUCAUUGCUGUCCUUUGCUGUCCCAGCUGCUCCUACAAGGCUUCUCCUGUCCCACCUUACUGGUCUGGCUGCCUGGGGUCAUACCUGACAGAGAAACCAGGGCUGGACCCAUGGUGGUACUAACCCUUUUCAUGUACUUCUCAUAUUUUCUCUUGGCAUUUCUCCAAUUUUCUAUUUCUUUUUCUUUCCUCUUUCAUGAAAAAAAAGUUGUAUUUUCCCUUUGGAUUCCCAACAUGCAACCUCGUUUGUGUUUUAAUCUCAUUUUCAGGUAUAUUUAUAACUAAAUUUCAUUCUGCAAUUGUGGAUUGAGGCUCCUUACCUUAAGCUUAUCAGAACAUCCUGCUUAUCUACUUCCCACGUUAAAGCCAUUGCUCCAUAAAUUCUAGAAAAUUCAAUAUAAUGAUCAUUUUUGCCUAAGACUCACAUGUCUAUGGAUAUGGAGUUUACAAUACACAUUCAUGUUUAUGUCUACAGGGCUACGUUGUAGUGCUUCCACGUCCUGCCCCAAAAUCCGUAUUUCCUUAACUGGGGUUUAAAGUUUGGAUUGUCUUACAUCUGUGCAUGUGUUUAUCCAUCUGCAGGAGGGGACGUGGUAAAAGUGUCAGAGUAACAGCAAGAUGUUGCAAAAAAAGAGGCUUUAUUAGAAAUGUGUUCAAAGAAACCCCAAACCAACAAACUGUAAUAGCUAAUGGUCUUACAGUCUCAAGUCAAACUUACUUCUAUUAGAGUAAAAUACUGUGACCUAAGAGCUGUGAAAUAGCAAUAUUUCAGAGUUACAGUACUAGUUUAAAAACCAAAGAAACAGCACUGAAAUGUUUAGUUUCAAAAGUAUACUUUACCUAAAUUGGAAAUAUGACAGUUUUUAUUUUCCCUUGAAGCAUGAUGCUAAAUGUAACAUUUACAAAAAAAAAAAAAAAAAAAAAAAAAAAAAAAAAAAGUUGAAAACCCAGGACUUAAACAUAUUUUGAUUAUACAGUCAUGAUUAAUAAAGAAAUUCUUCUUUCAGUCUUCUUUGGAGAAGAUCCAUCUGUAAUGGUUAAUCAUGAACUUACAGAAUUUGCCAGUUCAUUUUAUAGCAAUAUCACACCUUUAUUCACAUUCCCAACUUUGUGGUUUAGUUCUGAAAAUGAGCUUAUUUUAACUGAACCAUGCAGCAGCUUGCUUUGACUCUGAUGGAACUUGUUUUGUAUACAAUUUUGUUUGAAGAAAUGAAACACUGGGGCAGUUGUUGAGCUGUCCUUAUGUCCCAUGUUAAAUAAAUAAAAAUCUAUCUGUUUUAUGAGACCAGGUUACAUAAAAAGGCAGAUGAGGUGAAUUACGAGUGGGUUAAAACUCAAACAUCCUUGAAGCCAUAAGCCUGAAGUCUGUCUCCUUUCACAUGGGAAGAAAUUAAAGAGAAAGCAAACCAGAUACUGCUGAGAAAGUUUGUUUUACUUCUGGCUGCACAAAGCAGCUCAGCUGCCUGGUGCGCCUAGCCCAUGCAUCAGCUGCUGAAGCAUGAAUUUGUUUCACUCCUCAAAUGAAGCUGAAAGCACUUUGGGAAAGCGGUGAACCCACACACAUUUAUGGUGUCAAACGUUUUCAUGUCUGUUGGUGGAAUUUGCAACACAUCCUUGAGUAGAGUUGAUUCUGUUUCUGGUUUGACAAAGUUCUUUCUGGGGGAAAUGGUUUUUUCCUUCUUAAAUUGUUUUCAGCUGCCAUUUUUACUGUACUUUUGUUGUUGUUUGGUGAAUUAUGCAAAGGAAAGGACAGCAAUCAGCCUACGCAUAAACAGUGGCAAAGCCUCAUUCAGCUGCAGUAAUACCAAAAUUUCAAGUGAGUUCACAGUACUACAGCAUGGAUGAGCAGAAAUGCCUCCUGGUGACUGAUCAGGGCUCCAGCUGUGUAAACAGUGGCCCUGUGUGAAAGCACAAAAGGCAAAGAUCCCGGGCUGGGAUAAGAACAAGUUACUGGGAACCGCAACAAUAUUGAGAACAGAAGGGAUAAGACAAAGAAAUGAUUUACAGGGAAAACUGUGACAACGCUGACCCGGCUGUUCUGGACCAUGUAUUUUCUUCCACCUGGAAAGGACUCCCUUCUCUUUGGGAGAGAGUUCCUUUCUCUGUCUCUGGCAAUGGCCUGAGGUGGGAUUGAAGAUAAUGAUGGGGACAUGGCCAGACUCUCAUGUUCUUUGGUCCCACCUCACAUCAUUGCCAGGUGCAAGCAAAGGGACAGGUGUCUUCCCAAUGUGGAUGUUGGGGAAUGCAGGUCACCAGGUCUCUGCCCAACAUGGGUCCUGUGAUAGGGAUGAAGUUGGAACAGAGGACAAAGCUCUUUGUGCAACUGGGGGCAUUCACAGGGCUUCCCUUAUUGGUGGGUUCGUUGGUGUUGGGUCAAGGAUGACUGCGAGGAGAAGCUCUUCCCAAACUCCAGACAUUUGUAGGGCCUCUCCUAGUGUGGAUGCACCAGUGGGAGAUGAGGUUGGAGUUGAGGUAGAAACCCUUCCUGCAGUCAGGGCAGCGGAAAUGCCUCUCCUCCAUGUGAAUCUUCUGGUGCAGGAGGAGAUUGGAGCUUGUAUAAAACCUCCUCCCACAAUCAGGACACUCAUAGGGUCCCUCCUCAGUGUGGAUCCACUGGUGGCAAAUCAGGUAGGAGCUCGUGGUAAAGCUCUUCCUGCAUUCCUGGCACUCCAAGGGCUGUUCACCACUGGGGAUGUGCUGGUGCCUAAAGAGGACAGGUUGCACUGUAAUGUCAUGGCUUGCCUCAGUUUCCCCUGGUUUCUUCCUGAAGUUUCCUUCCCCAGGUGGGGUGUCAAUCACCUCUCCUUUCCCCACCCUUGACCCCUGCUGGGCAUUGUCUAUGAACCCAGAAAUUCCAAGGGGAGCGUUGAGUGAUUGGCAGGUUCAAAGGAUGCUCUCCACCCCCUGGGGGGCCAUUGGCCCACCCAGGUGUCCUUCUCACCCAAGACCCCUCCCCUCAUACCUGGUUGGUAGUCUCUCUGUUCCCUCCCCUGCCCUCUCCCCAGGUAAAAGGACAAACAGACCAUGCCGUUGGGGUUCUGGUGGAGAGUGCUGCUGGAGUUGUUGCAGGAUUCAGAGGCCAUGAGGCUCAAAGUAAAAACUCUGGAUUAAAAACUCUCCAUCAGGACCCACUCCUUCUUCACCUUGCCUUAAAGGUUUCUCCAGCUCAGGAAGGCUUCAGGAGUCACCUCCCUUUAACAGCAAGCUCCAGCCGCAAGCACUGGAGUUCGGGGCAUGCCCAACUUGUCUCCACGUGACCAGCUGCGACCACAGAAUUCCCCAUUGCCAGAACCACAGUCCAGCAAUAAGGGUGCUUUCCUGAAGGCAUAUGGCUAUCAGUCCUCAUGGUGGGCAUGCAGAAUGGGGAGAAGGAGGAGAAUGUAACUUGUGAUGAACUUUAUGACAGUGAACACCAGAAUGACCUGCCCAGGUGUUGUGGUGGUGGUGGCAAAUCGAGAACCACCUAAUGAAGAAAGCCAAAUCUAGUCAAAGCAUUUUCAGCUAAAUGCAGUUUACAUAAAAGAAUAAGUAAAAAACAAAGAUCACAGUCUUUUUGUUGUUGUGUUCGAGGGUGCCAAGGGUGAGGGAUGAGAUGAGAAUCUUGACUCCAUGUUUCAGAAGGCUGAUUUAUUAUAUUAUCAUAUAUAUUAUAUUAAAAUGAUACACUAAAACUAUACUAAAAGAAUAGAGAGAAAAUGGUCCUUCAGAAGGCUAGAAAGAAAAGGAAUGGAAUGCAUAACAAAAUCCUGCGACUGCUCACAGCCUCAACACAGGUGGCUGUGAUUGGUCAUCAAUUGAAAACAAUCCACAUGGACCAAUCUGAGAUGCACCUGUUGCAUUCCACAGCAGCAGAUAGUUAUUGUUUACAUUUGUUUCCUGAGGCUCCUCAGUUUCUCAGGAGAAAAUCCUGGCAAAAGGAUUUUUCAGAAAAUAUCAUGGCUACAGUCCUUCUGCUUACUUUUUUUUUUUUUUUCCUCCUAAUUUCCUUGGGAAAAUUUUUGGGAAUAUUUCAGGAUACUGAAUCCAGGAUAGUUCCUGUGAUUGGGUGACUGAUGAAAUCUUUGGCAUGAAAAAUGUAUGCAUCCUUCUGGUAGAUGGAAUAAAAAUAAAUACUAAAACCCAGCUGGUAAAGCCAGGGUGUUUCUUUCUGGCAGUUCUGUGAAGCAGAGUCUAACUGGCUCAUCCCAGGCAGGGUUUUCACUCAGUGGAUCACAGGUCCCUGCAGAGGUGUCCAUGAGAGCAGCUCCUUGGAGUCCCAUGUGCUCGGUGGGCAUCCAUCCAGUCAGUCAGUGGAGAAUGUGGGAUGACUCGCAGGAGCAGAUGAAGGUGCCUGUUUUGGGAUGAAAUUAAACCUUCCUGCAGCUUCCUUGCCUGUUGUCGGGGUUGUGGGUGGCUCUACCAGUCUGUCCAGGGAGACUCCCCGGCUGCAAGGAGCUGCCCUAAAUUCCUUUGUGGAGGGGGCAGUCAGAAGCUUUGCUGAGCAGAGGCUGCCCAGCAAGUGCAGUGUGACUGCAGGAUGCAGCAGAAGCAAGGCAGAAGAAGAGGAGGUAACCUGGGCACGAGUUGAUUGAACAGCAGCAAUGUUCAGCACUUACUGCCUCAAUCCCGUAAUUCAGGGAUUCAACCUGUGUCAGAGACAAGAAAGCCCCUAAUCAGCCCUGUCUUGGUACUGGGAGGCUUCUCACAGCCCUUGUGGGACCUUGCCAGAAGUGGAGGCUGGACCUUCACAGAGUAGGAAGAAACUUUACCCUGAGAAAUUUAAAACUGUGUUCAAAUAAAGAGGGAAGCCUAUAGGAAUCACCUCUACCAAGCCCCCUGAGAUUUUUGUUAAAGCUGUAUUCAUGGUUAUAGCUAAAUGGCACGGGGCUAAUAGCGCCUCACACUUUACAAUUCCGUUAGAGACUUCAUGUUAAUCUAAGUGCUUUUUAUUGCCUGCACUGAUACAGAAAUAAAGCAAUUCAAAUGCAUCACAAAGACAUGAUUUCCUUCUUUUCCUCAUGUGAUAGUUGAGGAUCUGAAACACAAAUGUGGUAAGGCAGAAGAACUGUGAUGAGAAAUAAAGAUUCUCUUCUGUCCAUUUGCACAAAGAAAACCCUGUAGUUUUUGAGGUUUCCUGCAAAUACUCAUCUUUUCUUCUUAAGUAUAGAAGACUAAGCAUAUUUAAAGGUCUUUUUUAGAAAUGCAAAGAUAAUAUAUUUAAAAUUAAUUAAUGCAGUGUACCAUUAAUCAAGUCUUCUUGAAAAGCUUUAAUUUAACUGGAAAGGUCUAUUAGAUUUUGUUGUAGUUUUUAAAUUAAGCAAUUUAUUUAUAAUGCCUUUAAUAGUUGAGAAUAUUGCCCACAGAAGAAUUAGAUCUUGAGCAAUCUUUAACUCUGGAGGUUUGACUCAACUCUCAGGUCAUGAAUAUGAAAUUACUUCACAGAAUAUCCACAAGGAUGAUGUUUCAAUUACAGCUUAAUGAGAACUUAAAAAUACCUUGCACUAAAUGAUCUUAAA